UACGUAGGGGGCUAGCGUUGUCCGGAAUCAUUGGGCGUAAAGCGCGUGUAGGCGGUCCGGUAAGUCCGCUGUGAAAGUCGGGGGCUCAACCCUCGGAUGCCGGUGGAUACUGUCGGGCUUGAGUACGGAAGAGGCGAGUGGAAUUCCUGGUGUAGCGGUGAAAUGCGCAGAUAUCAGGAGGAACACCAAUUGCGAAGGCAGCUCGCUGGGACGUUACUGACGCUGAGACGCGAAGGCGUGGGGAGCGAACGGG
rnacentral:rRNA from 1 species